rnacentral:lncRNA from 1 species
UAAAGCUAAAGCAAUCUUUCAAGAAUUGUGCUGCAUGAAAGUUGAGUGGGAUGAGGAGUUACCAGUGAACAUAGCAGCACAAUGGCACAGAUGGUUGAACGACUUGCCUCUGUUGUCAGCACUGACAAUUCCAAGAUGCCUUAGACCAACAUCUACAAGUUGUUUAUCAGCCCAGCUCCAUCACUUUUCUGAUGCUUCAGAACUGGCUUACGGUGCUGUUUCAUACAUCAGGAUUGGUGAAAUCCUGCAGGCUGGUGAUGUCAAAGGCCAGACUUGCUCCAAUCAAGCCAGUUAGCAUACCACGACUGGAGCUACUAGCAGCAGUUGUUGCUACGGAGCUGGAUCAGCAUAUCAAGCAACACUUAGAGAUCCCAAUUGAAAGGACUUUCUUUUGGACAGACGGUACUAUUGUACUUCAGUACAUUAAAAACAAGCAUUGUCGUUUCCAGACAUUUGUCGCCAACCGUAUAUCAAAAAUACAUGAACGCUCAGAAUCAUGCCAGUGGAGACAUAUUGAUUCUGCCUCUAACCCUGCGGAUGACGUCUCUAGAGGGAUGACUAUGAGAGAGAUUUUGGCAAGUGAACGAUGGAAAUCUGGUCCACACUUUCUUAGAUACGAUGAGGAACAUUGGCCUGCUCAACCUAUUAUAAAUGACUUGCCGGAUGAAGCAGAGAUCAAACGAGGCAAAGAAGUCUAUGCAGCUAGCAUAACACCAAACCAAGCAAUUAAAAAUGCAGUAGACAGGCUAAUGGAACGAUACUCCAGUUGGCAUCGUUUGAAAAGAGCUACUGCUAUCUUGUUGCAUCUCAAGGCUUUGUUACGCAAGAAACUGAGGGUUCAUCUUUCUGACCCCAUCACUAUUGGUGAGCUCCAGCAAGCAGAGUUAGCCAUUGUCAAUUACGUACAAGCUGCAACUUUCAGAUCUACUGAAGCCAAGCCUAGUUCUCUUCUCAAACUUAAACCCUUUAAAGAUGAAACUGAUCAACUCCUUCGUGUCGGAGGCAGACUAAUGAAUGCCCCAAUUCCUUACGAGGCUAAACAUCCAGUGAUCCUACCUAACAAUCAUCACGUCACCCAGCUAAUUAUUCGUCACUAUCAUCUUCGCUUGGGUCAUGCAGGGCCAGAACGAGUUCUUACAGAAAUUCGUCAAUGUUUCUGGAUUCUAAAGGGACGUGCUGUCAUUACACAAACUCUGAAGUCAUGCCUACAGUGUCGCAAGUUAAGAGCUAAGCCACAAGCCCAGCAAAUGGCAAACUUACCUGACUCUAGAGUGACACCAUGUGAGCCUCCAUUCACUCGAGUGGGCAUAGACUACUUCGGGCCAUUCUUGAUUAAGAAGGCACACAGUGAACAAAAGAGGUAUGGAUGGUUGUUUACAUGUCUCACUACGAG